UACGUUCCCGGGUCUUGUACACACCGCCCGUCACACCAUGGGAGCGGGUUUUACCUGAAGUAGGUAGCUUAACCGUAAGGAGGGCGCUUACCACGGUAGGAUUCGUGACUGGGGUG
rnacentral:rRNA from 1 species